ACCCUGUAGAACCGAGUUUGUA
rnacentral:miRNA from 1 species